CUCCUGCCUCAUGCAAACAAUGGCGCUGGCCCUCAUCCUGGGUGCCACCCGGUGACAGCGAGGGUCGGACCUACAUCGAGCUGCAAGCUGUGACCCACAGCAUGCAGCCUCCAACCCUCCCUGCUGCCCCCCAGCCCUCUGUUAUCUAUGCCGAGGUGGCCACUGGGGGGCACCACUGAUGCCUCCGAUCUGUGUGCACAAACACGUGUGUGUUGGCUGCACACAUGUACUUCAAGUGUGCACAGUGCAGCAAACACCAAGGACACACAUGUGCUCCCCAUGGCACGUCUUCAUCGCUCCAACCCAAACCAGCACGCAUCCCACAAUGCUUUUGGGACAGGAUUCUCAUUUCUGGAGGGUUUUCCUCCCACACGUCUGGUGGAGAAUUCCCUUUCUGAAGGAUUUAUCCUGCUUUUUGGGGGAGGAUUCCUCUUUCUGCAAAGCUUUAUCUUUCCGGUAUUUCUGGAGAGUUUGAUUCCUAUUCCAAGAAUUCCCAGUUCUGAAGG